GCGUACUUGGGGUGGAGUGGUGGGAAAUGAUGUCCAGAAAGCGCAAGGGAAAAGUGGAGGUGAAGGGCCGUUGGAAGGGGAAAAAUGGGGAAAGAAAGAAAAGGGAUUGAGAGGAAGCCGUUGACCUCGUUUUGUUCGUCGGCAAGAAGCGUUACAGGCAGCUCAUGUAAUGGACUACGGCGUCCCAGUCCUAUCUGAGUGUGCGCUGCAGUUGCGAAAUUCGACAAGGCUUUGCCGGAUGUGACCUUGGCAAACCCGCGGAGGGCUCCGCCAGCUGUGAGCUGGCGGCGCAGCUUGGAGCAGGACUGCAGAGCAACACCCAAGACAAACAAGGGGCAAAAAUUAGCCAGACCGCUGGGCCGAAACUUGGUGAUUGAGCUGGUCCAAGCAGUCUGUAAUAGGGCUUUCAUUUUUUAUAUUCAUUAUCCUAUUGACGUGGCAAAUAUGUGACUUUUAAGUGCAUGAUCCAUCGUUUGAAUGGUCUGGUAUAGACACAAGGCAUCAUAAAACUUCCAACUCUCUCAAGAGCCAGAUGAAUCAGACUUUGACAGGUAUUGUUCUGAAGACUGAAGAAUGCAGAACUCUUGGCCCGUAACAGCUCCAUCACAACUUCUACACCAAGAGAAUCGACCAAACUAGUAUGGCUUCUAGCAGCGUAAGGCCUUGUCCCUGGGAUAACCCCAGCUCCCCUUAAAAAACCUGCCUGGAAAAGUUAACAAUGCAGGAGAAUUGACUGUUCCAGGCAAAGCCUUGUGAUAGGCAGAGAGUACCUGCACCCCCUCUCUUAGAGCAGUUUCUUUGUAGAGCUUGCAUUUAUAAAUCCUUUCUCUGCCCUUUGUGCUGAAAAAUCUGCCAGCCAGAACUAUUUCCUCAAGGACCUAGGAGCCUCUCUCUCUGUUUGAAAUGCAGUAAUUCAGGGAGAUCCUAACUUUAAUGGAUGACUUACUUCAAUUUGGACUGCAGCCUCUUGUCUUAAAGAUAGAAGUUUGUUUCUUCUCUGACAAGCACCGGUUAACAAACCCAGAUGGCCUAGUCCCGUGAAUCACCAACUCACCCCCUCAAUGCCCCUCAGUGCCUUUCCCUGGGCACACUCCAGCCUUUAAAAAGUUUCCAGCCUCUGUUUCAGGGAAGUUGAGUUUAUUCAUGCAGGCAUGUUACUGCAUAAAAUGUGUCCUUACUACUUCAACUAGUAUCCAGGUUUGUUUAUUGUUGCCAGUUCUUCCAGAUAGUAAAGUACUAUUGCUAAAAUGUGUUUGCCUUUUAAAAAAUAACUAUAUGGGGCAGCCCGGGUGGCUCAGCGGUUUAGCGCCACCUUCAGCCCAGGGCCUGAUCCUGGGGACCCGGGAUCAAGUCCCACGUCGGGCUCCCUGCAUGGAGCCUGCUUCUCCCUCUGCCUGUGUCUCUGCCUCUGUGUGUGUGUGUGUGUGUGUGUGUGUGUGUGUGUCAUGAAUAAAUAAAUAAAAUCUUUAAAAAAUAAAUAAAAUAAAAUGAAAAAUAAC